CUUGAUCACUGCUAAUUUCUU
rnacentral:misc_RNA from 1 species